UUAAAGACAAAAGAAGCCCUAACCCUAGCCACUUCCAAAUCAGUCGCACCCUCUCUUUCUUCUCUCCUCUCUCACCCUUCCUCUCUCUAAACGUCACCGCCCCCGCCGGUGUACAGUUGUUGCCGCCGCUCCACCACUCUCUCUUCCCUCUCUCUACUUAUUUCUCUCCACCAGCAGCCAUGGUUGCCAUUGUCGGAAUAACCUCCGCCCUUUUCUUUCCCUUGCCUCAAUUGCUACCGGUGACACCAGCGCCACGCCGGCCUUCUUUUUCUCAAAUACCGCUUCACCCCCUUUUCGGCAAAACCAUGCCGGGGAAAUUCCUCCGCGGCCAUUGCUAGGCUCGCUGGUCAGCGAUCAGCCAUGUCGCCACUCCGUUCUCCGCAUCUCCACCGCUCCGACCAGCAAGAAAGCUGGCCCGUCGCCGCUGUGCAAUAGCCAAACCACCAUAGCAUCGCCUCCCUCAUGCUCCAGCAACACUACCCUCUCCUCUCACCCAUUACGUCCUAGUCGGAGUUGAUGACCAACAAGGUUUUGAUGAACAACAAGGCUCUGAUGAAUUUAUCUGUUAUUAUUGUCUGGUUUGAUUUUCUUUAAUAUAUUAAGUUGCAUGUUUAUUUGCUUUGUUAGCCAAAUCCGGUUUCUAGAUAAAUUUUUUUGUGAUUUUUGAUUUUAAACUUUGAUUUAAUUUCUUUAUUUACGUGUUCAUGAUCAUAUAUGUGGAAUCCGUAGAUUUGUCCUUAAACCGCUAUUAGGUUGUUGAUUAUUUCAAGUUUUCGAUAUUGUUGUUCCCUAAUUUGGUUAACAUCGAUGAAAUGUGACUCAUAUAACUAGGUGCCUAUGGGAAAAUGUGUGAUUGUGUAUUUUGCUCUUAAAUGAUAGUUAGUUUAUGGGACUAAUUUCGUACGUAAUUUUAGUGAUUUAUAUUUGAUUUUUUUUGUGCAUAAUUAAAUUGUUGUGGUUAAGGCAUAUUUGUAUAGUUAAUUCUUUUAUUUUUAUUUAGUUAUUAUUGCUCAUACCCAUAUGAUGUCUAUUACCUUUUAAUAUAUUUUAGUUUCUUUUUACUUGCUUAUUUAUAGAAUAUCCAAUAUACCAUUUCAAUCUAUUCUAUGUUUGACAUAUUCCACCUUUGUUAUUUAUGGCAAACUUUUAAUCCACUCUUAAUCUAAGUGAUUUAAUGUGCAUUAUUUGAAAAUAAUAAAUUGUGUAAUUGAUAAUUUCUUUCUCCCUGUUGAUUCUGAUUGACUGUUAGAAUAAUUUAUUUUUCUUUCAUUUAGAAAUUUUUUAUAUUUAUUUUCCUUCCAUGUGCAUUGACUGAUUUUUAUAUAUGGGUGAUUUUUUUAUUUUUUUUUAAUGAAAAAUUUAUACUGACAAAUAUUUAUCUUCCUUUUACUUUCUAUGAUUCUUUUACUAUAUAAACUUACCCUCAUUUCAUUAAAAAAACAGCUCUUCAAUUACGAUAAUUCUCUAAAAUAAAAUUACUAGUUACUGUAAGACGAAGAAAAAGAUAUUCUCAAGCUAUUAGGUUUCUCUGAUUCCGACAGGGCAUUCAACUUGCUUUACUAUUUCAAUUAUACUGCUUUUCGUUCUUUAUUUUUUUUCGUCAUUUACUGGUAAGUUCUCAAAAUGAUGUAAUUUUUAUUCUUUGUGUGUGUUGACUGCAUCACGUUGUGAAAGCCUUUAGAAAGCAUGUCUAUAGGAAUAUUUCUAUGUUCGUUAUUAUAUGCUUCUGUUUGCUUGCCAUUACAUCUUAUCUAGCAGGUUUAAAUAAACAAUUAUGGAGUUUCGAAGAGUCGCCGGGGUGUUUACAUUAGAUUGUAGUAGUUCUAUUUAGUUUUAGUUUCUUAUUAUUUGGUUUGUAAUAUUAUUGUAUAAAUAUUACUAUUAUUGUAGUAAUAAUAAUAAUGGGGACUGCUCGGAGUGCGGGGACUUACGUGCUCUGUGAAUAGUAUUGGUAGGCACAACUUAGAAUUUCAUGUGUAUUCCGUGCUAUAUGAAUCACCUAAUAUUCGAAACAUUUGGACACUUAAGCCAUAACUUAUUCAUUGCAUAUUUGGCACUAAAUUCUUGCACCUUCCCGCAUGAUAAUAUGUUACACAUUAUGUUUAAGCAAUUUUUGCAUGAUAAACACACGUUAGAUACUCGAUUAAACAUGUGAUCACAUAUUUUAGCAUGUUAACACAAAUAUUAUUAAAGCACGGUAGCAUUAAAUUUACUGCACAUUAACAUAUGUUUCAGCAUGUUAAACUUUAGCAUUUUAACAUUAGAAUUAUGCAUUGUUAGUACGUUAAACAUUAAAUUUGAGCAUGUCGUAUCUUCUAGUAUGUCUAAUAUUAAAAUAAGCAUGUCAAUGUAUUUUUCAACAUGUUAAUAAAUUUUCGGCAUCUUAAACAAUUUGUUUAAGAAUUUUAGCACAUUCACAUUAAAUUUCUGUUUGUCCUCACAUGUUAGCUCACUCUCCAUAUUAAAAAAAUAAAAUUUCAGCAUAAUAAGUCAAUUUUUAGCAUGUUAGAUUUAAUUUCCGGCGUAUUAGAAUUAAAUCUCAGCAUGGUAAUAUAAAUUUCUUGCACUAUUUUCAGAUAUUAACAUAAGGUUCCUGCACACUAGCAUAUUUUCAGCAUGCCAAUAAUAGUCAAAUUUCUGCAUUAUUAAAAUUGCAUUUCUGUAUUAUUUAAACUAUGUUUCUGCAUUAUUAUAACUGCAUUUCUGCAUUAUUAUAAUUGUGUUUCUGCAUUAGUAAAACNNNNNNNNNNNNNNNNNNNNUAGAAUUGCAUUUUUGCAUUACUAAAACUGUCUUACUGCAUUUUUAGCACAUUAAUAUGAAAUUACUGUGCACUAGCACAAUCACCAGCAUGUUAAAACAUAGGUUUUUGAGCAUCCUCAAUAUGUUAAACACUAGGUGAAGUACAUAAGUAUGUUCCUUAGCGUGUUAAUGCAUUUUUAAUGUUUUUGUUAAUUUCUCAUAUUUCCAUUAGAUUAUAACACUUAAUUCGUGAGCAUAAUUUAUUAAAAUAUUUACCACACUUUUGAUACCCUCUUUUAACAACUUAAUAACACACUGUUACAUACACAAAUCACAAUUACCUUUUGUCAUAUUAGUCAAUUGUUGAACGCGUAGAUAUCAUGCUUAUAGGUUAAAAACAUAAAAAAUAAAUAGCUAUUUUUUGUCUUUGCAUGUUAAUCACAUUAAUCAACUCUUGAAUAACCAAGGGGCUAAUGUGAGACAUUACUUGCUACUUGACGUUCAGUGUGUUACGAGUUUUGAUUCCUAAGCAACAUAAUUUUAUUUUGUCUAGGCCACAAAUCUAAAAUAGCAAAGUCCAAUGUCUCUUGGACGAUAAGCGGGACGAUAGAAAUUACUAAAGACGCUAGUUUUAUCCUUGUCUUAGAACGCCUUUAGAGUUAACAACCAGCCUAGGUAGGGUAGCACGAGUAGCCAUUCGAAAGUGAUGAUCUCCAAUCGCAUUAAAAGUAAGACAUAUGGCUUGUCUAAGAAUUCGGCCAGUGGGUUGAAUGAUGAUUAAACAAGUUGGGGUUUUGAUCCGAACGAGACCAAAAAUAUUUCUUUGUUUGCUUUGACGAAGUCUUUUUAUUUUUUUAUUUACUUUGACGAAGUUUUUUUAUUUUUUUAUUUACUUUACAUGCUUAUUUAUUUGGGAUAGUUAGUUUGUUACAUAAGCAGUCCCCUUUUGUUAUAAACUAUGUCAUUUCUUUCUCCUCGCUUAUUUUAUUAUGUAUUUUUAUCACUUAGAUAAUCAACAAUUAGAAAUAACAAAAAUAACAUGUAUUUGUUUAUUCGUUACUUUAUCGCGUAGUCAACAUUUAAGUUAAUAAAUAAGCGACCUUUAUUUGAUCACAUAGAAUCCCCACGUAAAGUAUGAAUUCGGUCGGGAACCACCUUUGUGGACCUCAAAAGGUGCCUAACACCUUUCUUUUGAGGUAAUUUGAACCCUUACCCGAACUCUGAUGAACUAAGAUAAAACAACAAAAUAGGUUCGUAGUUGGCCUAGACCAGUGCCCUAACGCACCUUAAUUCAUUAGGUGGAGACUCUUCACACUCAUCCUCAAACAAUCCAAAAAGAGUGGUCACGUCGAAUCCCAUUUUUUGCGGGAAAAUGAGGUGCGGCAGAAUGGCGACUCUGCUGGGGAGCUUAGGUUCUAACCAUUAUGAGUUUGUGUUUUAUGUGGGAUUCUUUCACUUUUUUUAUUUUUCGUAAUUAAUUUCUCUCUUUUUCUUUUAUCGCUUAUAUCAUGAUUCAUUUUUACAUGUUAAUCCCUUCUCCUUCUCCUUCCCCUUUUAUGUGUUAUUUAUAUAUCUCUAUGUCUACUUUACUUUUAUUGGAUAUGUGUUUUAAUGUUUAUUUUUAGAUUGCUAAAGCAUGCUAUUGUAUGUUGCUAUGUGCUACGUGUUACUACUUUAUGUAACUGUCAUUUCGCUCAUACUUUCCUCCACUUAAAACCUUCUUUAUUUUCUUUUACGAAUGGUUAUGUGAUUGCACGGACAUUCUUUCCUAAAACAUCCUGCGGGAAAUGCCUUGUGGAUCGAUUGAUCAGUGGUACGUCGACAGUCACAAGCUUUCCCACUCUCGAGUCGUCUAUUCGAGGGAACCAUGUCAUAAACACACUCUUGUCCUUUAGGUCCUAGCUACAUAUUUCUUUUAUUAAGGAAUAUGUGUCUCAUUCAACGUGGGAUGUCUUGGCAUCCUUGACGCGUUGAAUGUUAGUCUCAUUCAAAAUUCAAAGAGGUUCACGACCUCAAAUAGACUCAUAAUUAUUUGUUAUGUAUUGCAUUUCUAUGUAUAUAUUGGCAUAUUGCCUAUCUUGUUGUUUCCGUUCUUGCUUUAGUCACUCCUUACUUUGGGUUCUUGUAGAACCUUAUCUAUAAUAUUGAGUUUCUGUAGAACUUUAUCCACAAUAUUGGGUUCUUGUAGGACCUUAAUAAAUAAUCUUGGGUUCUUGUAGAACCUUAAUUGAAUAAUAUGAGGUUUCUGUAGAACCUCCAACAAUAUUGGAUUUCUACAGAACCUUAUCCACAAUAUUGGGUUUCUGUAGAACCUUAAUAAACAAUCUUGGGUUCCUAUAGAACCUUAUCCAUAAUAUCAGGUUCCUGUAGAACCUUAAUCAACAAUAUCAGGUUCCUGUAGAACCUUAAUCAACAAUAGCGGGUUCCUGUAGAACCUUAAUCAACAAUGUUGGGUCCUUGAAACCUUACAUUUUUUCAUGUCCUAACUCGUAUUCAACAAGACGACGACAUCAAUCGAGGCAGAGACACAAAUCGACCUUCCUUUCUUACAAACUCACAAUUUUUCUUUGAGUGCAGGAUUAACAGGUACAGAUGACAGGAAUCAUUCCAUCACGAGAGGCCCAACGGCCAAUCCAAUAUCACAUCAAGAAUCCCAAUGGUUGAUCUAAUAAUACAACAGAUACACUUUCUUAUCUCUUCUUAUCAUUAUUGCGGUUGUUUUCACUAAUUGUCUCUUCGAAAUAUGCAUCUGUGCUAACCAUUUUUAUCCAGUUGAGCUAAAAGUGGUAGGAUUGAUAAGUAUAGAUAAUAGGAAUUACCCCAUCAUGAGAGGCCUAAUAACCAAUCCAACGCUAUAUCGAGAAGCCCAACAGCUGAUCCAACGCUACAUCGAGAGGCCCAACAGUUGAUCCAACAUUAUAUCGAGAAGCACAAUAGCUGAUCCAACGCUACAUCAAGAGGCCUAAAAGUCAAUCCAAUGUCACAUUGAGAAGCCCAACAACUGAUUCAAUGCUACAUCAGAGGCCCAACAGCCGAUCCAAUGUCAUAUCGAGAAACCCAACAGCUGAUCCAAUGCUACAUUGAGAGGCCCAACAGCUGAUCCAGCAUCAUAUCGAGAAGUCAAACGCUGAUCCAACAUUACAUCGAGAGGCCCAAUAGCCAAUCCAACGUUAUAUCAAGAAGCCCAAGAACUGAUCCAACAUCAUAUCGAGCAACUCAACAGUUGAUCCAACAAUACAACAGAUACAUUUUCUUUACUUCUUACAUUCACUUUAUGUUUAUCAAAUGCUUAUUAUUUACAUGCUUUAACCCUGGUUAUUGAGUAUACUGUGAAAUACGCAGGUGACGGAGAAGGAGUAACAAACAGAAAUAAUUUUCGUUCUUAUUUUCGAAAUAUCACCCCAUUUAUUCAUCCAUCGCGUGAACUCAUCCUGAUACUCACCUACCUUAACAUAUUUAAACUUCUCCAUACGUCAUUAUUCCAAUUCAUUACGGUCUCACUGACCCACGAUACCAUUGUUGACGCCCCAACCUUUAUCAAUAACAUUUUUUAGGAAUAUUAUUCAUUCCUAAAUCUAGAACUACACAAGGCCUGAUUCUUAUAAAAUCAGAGAAAUGUAGGCGACUUCAGACAAAAGUCUCCGCCAUACCAUUUUUUAACCACCUCUUGGUUCUUUAAUUCCAAUGAAUCUUUCUCGAUUGGACAAAAUUGGCUACUACGUUGACUUUCGUUGCUUGACAAUUAUUUCAUCAUUCUCAAGCAACGAAGAGGCAGCUGUUGACACCCAAUUUUUGACCGUCCAAUACUCAUUUUAGGCUGCUAUUUUGGCAAAAUAAUUAAUUUUAAAUGUUAGUUUUUUUUACACAUUUUUCUUGUAUCAAACAGAUAUUGACGUGUCACAUUCAUAAUUUAGAAAAAUGCACAAAUUAUUAUCUUUUAAUAUCAUUUUUAUCAUAUUAAUUCAAAUACGACAUUUUUACUUAAUUUUAUUAAAAUUUAUUAUUUUGUACGUAAAUGUGCACACUCUCAAUUUGCAAACACAUUAUUUAUUAUUGUUAUUAUAUAUUAUGUAUUAUUAUUAUUAUUAUUUAUUAUUAUUAUUAUUAUUUAUUGCUUAUUAUUUAUUAUUUAUUAUAUAUUAUUUACUAUUAUUAUUAUUAUCCCAACUACUAUUUAAAUAACAGCCCAAAUUGAAAUCACUUUGCCUAAUUUAUUUAUCUUUUAGCUCAAUUUUUAUCCAAAUUAUUAUAAUUCUAGCCAAUUUAUUACAAUUAUGGCCCAUUCUUGACUCAAUUUAAAAAUUCUCAACCUUUGAAUCUCAGCCAUCGAUCAAAAUUGAUCCAAUGGCUGAGAUCAAAAGGACCAUUCUUUUCUUUUAAAGACAAAGGAAGCCCUAACCCUAGCCACUUCCAAAUCAACCGCACCCUCCCUUUCUUCUCUCCCCUCACUCUAACCUCUCACCCUUCCUCUCUCUAAAUGGCGUCGCCGUCGCCGGUGGACGGCUGCUGCCGCCGCUCCACUACUCUCUCUACCCUUUCUCCACUCUUCUCUCUCCACCAGCAGCCAUGGCUGCCACCGCCGGAGCAGCCACCGCCCUUCUCUUUCACUUGCUUACCCUCUGCUGGUAAAACCUGUGCCACCACUGGCUUUCUCUCUCCAAGUUCCACCUCCAUGAACCCCGGCAAAACUACGCUGGCGAAACCCCUUCGCCGCCAUCGCUAGGCUCGCCGGUCAGCGACCAGCCACUCCAUUCUCCGCAUCUCCACCACUCCGACCAGCAAUUAAGUUGUCCCGUCGCCUCUGUGCAACAGCUAAACCCCCAUAGCACCGCUUCCCUCAUGCUCCAGCAACACUGCCCUCUCCUCUCACCCGUUACGUCCUCAUCAGAGUUGAUGACCGACGAGGUUUUGAUGAACAACGAGGCUCUGGUGAACUUAUCUGCUAUUAUUGUCUGGUUUGAUUUUCUUUAAUAUAUUAAGUUGCAUGUUUUUUUACUUUGUUAGAUGAAUCCGUUUUCUAGAUUAAAACUUUUGUGAUGUUUGAUUUUAAACUUCGAUUUAAUUCCUUUAUUUACGUAUUCAUAAUCAUAUAUGUGGAAUGCGUCGAUUUGUCCUUAAAACCGCUAUUAGGUUGUUAAUUAUUUCAAGUUUUCGAUAUUGUUGUUCCCUAAUUUGGUUAACAUCGAUGAAAUGUGACUCAUAUAACUAGGUGCCUAUGGCAAAAAUGUGUGAUUGUGUGUUUUUCUCUUAAAUGAUAGUUUAUGGGACUGAUUUCGUACGUAAUUUUAAUGAUUUGGAUUUAAUUUUUUUGUGCAUAAUUAAAUUGUUGUGGUUAAGGCAUAUUUGUAUAAUUAUUUCUUUUAUUUUUAUUUAGUUACUGCUGCUCAUACCCAUAUGAUGUCUAUUACCUUUUAAUAUAUUUUAGUUUCUUUUUACUUGCUUAUUUAUAGAAAAUCCAUAUGUCAUUCCAAUCUAUUCUAUGUUUGACAGAUUCUCCCUUUGUUAUUUAUGGCAAACUUUUAAUCCACUCUCAAUCUAAG
rnacentral:lncRNA from 1 species